CCUCGCCUACGGGGGGCAGCAGUGGGGAAUAUUGCACAAUGGGGGAAACCCUGAUGCAGCGACGCCGCGUGAGUGAAGAAGUAUUUCGGUAUGUAAAGCUCUAUCAGCAGGGAAGAUAAUGACGGUACCUGACUAAGAAGCCCCGGCUAACUACGUGCCAGCAGCCGCGGUAAUACGUAGGGGGCAAGCGUUAUCCGGAUUUACUGGGUGUAAAGGGAGCGUAGACGGCGAUGCAAGUCUGAAGUGAAAGGCGGGGGCCCAACCCCCGGCCUGCUUUGUAAACUGUAUGGCUGGAGUGCAGGCGG
rnacentral:rRNA from 1 species